UACGAAGGGGGCUAGCGUUGCUCGGAAUCACUGGGCGUAAAGGGUGCGUAGGCGGGUCUUUAAGUCAGGGGUGAAAUCCUGGAGCUCAACUCCAGAGCUGCCUUUGAUACUGAGGAUCUUGAGUACGGGAGAGGUGAGUGGAACUGCGAGUGUAGAGGUGAAAUUCGUAGAUAUUCGCAAGAACACCAGUGGCGAAGGCGGCUGACUGGUCCGGUUCUGACGCUGAGGCGCGAAAGCGUGGGGAGCAAACAGG
rnacentral:rRNA from 1 species